CGCUGGCACAGACACGGCUAAAGCGCUGCCUGUGGCCCCUCAGCCAGGGGCUGCUCUGAACAGGUAUGUGGAAACGCCUCAGCCCGGACAGACACCACCGACAGCCCAGAAGGACCCCAAGGAGCAGUGGGUAUUGCCUGGAAUGGAGGCACCGGCCGUUUGCAGAGGGGCUCAGACAGCAGUUCCCGUUUCUGACCUCCCAGAGCUCCCACACAGCUCCCAGAUAUUGAAUCCCAAGCAGUAUACCUGGGAGAUGCCUCAAAAUCAGAGGUUCAAGCAGGAUGAAGUUUGGAACUUCCCAGGGAGCCAGCUGAAGUGCAGAAGUGAAGGAAAACUUUUGCAGUGAGAAGAACAUGAACUCACAGCCACCGAGGCCUGACAGGUUCCUGCAGUGAGAGCUCAGCGCACGUCCACAGAGAGUGAGAGGGGAGAUGUGGGAAUUGGAAAACCAGAAACUUCCAGAGACACCCAAAGAUUGGAUCUGCAGCCUGGGAAGAAGCUUGGAUUGAUGUCAAAAUACAACACACAGGCAUUAACAGGAAAAUAAUACAUAAAGCAGGUAGAACUGUGAUGGUUUCUAAUUAAUGGCCAAUCACACUCAGCUGGCUCACACUCUCUGUCCCACCCACAAGCCUUUGUUAUCAUUCUGUGCUAUUCUAUUCUUAGCUGGCUUUCUGAUGAGAUCCUUUCUUCUAUUCUUUUAGUAUAGUUUAAUGUAAUAUAUACAGUAAAAUAAUAAAUCAGCCCUGUGAACCAUGGAGUCAGACCCUGGUCCCUUCCCUCACCCUGGCCCCUGUGAGCAGUCCCAGGCUGGGCUGGCAGCAAUGGCAUCCCCAGGCAGUGAAUGCAGCACAGAGGACAAGAGGAGCCCUGUGUGCCCCUGACUCACCCACAGCAGGGCAGGGCCUGAGCCCUCCAGGGCAGAGCCUGUGCUGGGGCCUCUUGCCUGUGGCUGCUCAAACACCAAAGCUUUUGGCAAAGGUGGCAGGAGUUUGGUGAUUUUUCUUGGCCUGAAAGAGAGGAGGAAA